rnacentral:tRNA from 1 species
AAAAAAUUAGUUAAAUCUACAUAACAUUAGUUUGUCAAACUAAAAUUAUUAAACUUUUUAAUAUUUUUUA